rnacentral:rRNA from 1 species
CAGCCGCCACGGGAAAACGGAGGGUGCAAGCGUUAAUCGGAAUUACUGGGCGUAAAGCGUGCGUAGGCGGUUCGUUAAGUCUGUUGUGAAAGCCCCGGGCUCAACCUGGGAAUGGCAAUGGAUACUGGCGAGCUAGAGUGUGUCAGAGGAUGGUGGAAUUCCCGGUGUAGCGGUGAAAUGCGUAGAGAUCGGGAGGAACAUCAGUGGCGAAGGCGGCCAUCUGGGACAACACUGACGCUGAGGCACGAAAGCGUGGGGAGCAAACAGGAUUAGAUACCCCAGUAGUCCCUGUCUCUUAUAC